UACGUAGAGUGCAAGCGUUAAUCGGAAUUACUGGGCGUAAAGCGUGCGCAGGCGGUGAUGUAAGACAGUUGUGAAAUCCACGGGCUCAACCUGGGAACUGCAUCUGUGACUGCAUCGCUGGAGUGCGGCAGAGGGGGAUGGAAUUCCGCGUGUAGCAGUGAAAUGCGUAGAUAUGCGGAGGAACACCGAUGGCGAAGGCAAUCCCCUGGGCCUGCACUGACGCUCAUGCACGAAAGCGUGGGGAGCAAACAGG
rnacentral:rRNA from 1 species